UACGUAGGGUGCGAGCGUUAAUCGGAAUUACUGGGCGUAAGAGCGCGCAGGCGGUCGGAUAAGUCGAAUGUGAAAGCCCCCGGCUCAACUGGGGAGGGUCAUUCGAUACUGUUCGACUCGAAGGCAGGAGAGGGAAGUGGAAUUCCCGGUGUAGUGGUGAAAUGCGUAGAUAUCGGGAGGAACACCAGUGGCGAAGGCGACUUCCUGGCCUGUUCUUGACGCUGAGGCGCGAAAGCUAGGGGAGCAAACGGGG
rnacentral:rRNA from 1 species